rnacentral:misc_RNA from 2 species
AACGCACAUUGCGCCCCUUGGUAUUCCAUGGGGCAUGCCUGUUCGAGCGUCAUUUGUACCCUCAAGCUAUGCUUGGUGUUGGGUGUUUGUCCUCUCCUUUUGCGAUUGGACUCGCCUCAAAGACAUUGGCAGCCAGUGUAUUGGUCUUGAAGCGCAGCACAUUUUGCGAUUCUUGCUGAUAAUCACUAGCAUCCAGUAAGCCUCUUUAUCACUUUUGACCUCGGAUCAGGUAGGGAUACCCGCUGAACUUAA